rnacentral:tRNA from 2 species
GGGGGUGUGGCUCAGUUGGGAGAGCGCAUGGUUUGCAUCCAUGAGGUCGCGGGUUCAAAUCCCGCCAUCUCCACCA